rnacentral:rRNA from 1 species
GACGAACGCUGGCGGCGUGCUUAACACAUGCAAGUCGAACGGAAAGGCCCUGCUUUUGUGGGGUGCUCGAGUGGCGAACGGGUGAGUAACACGUGAGUAACCUGCCCUUGACUUUGGGAUAACUUCAGGAAACUGGGGCUAAUACCGGAUAGGAGCUCCUGCUGCAUGGUGGGGGUUGGAAAGUUUCGGCGGUUGGGGAUGGACUCGCGGCUUAUCAGCUUGUUGGUGGGGUAGUGGCUUACCAAGGCUUUGACGGGUAGCCGGCCUGAGAGGGUGACCGGCCAGAUAGGGAGGGAAUUCGGCCCCGACCCCCCUCGGAAGGGAGGAGGGGGGAAGAUUGCCAAAGGGGGGGGAGACUGAUUGACGAAGCCCGGUGGCGGGAAGGCGGCCUGGGGUUGGAAACCCGCUUUCCCUGGUAGGGAAGGAUAAUGACGGUAAAGGGAGAAGAAACCACGGCUAAAUUAGUG